rnacentral:lncRNA from 1 species
AGAACGAGUUGCAAAAUGUGUCCCUGAAUGCAGCAUAAAAGUAGUUGUGAAAUGUGCCAGGUAAAGGCACAGGCUAGGCUGGCCUCCGUGGCAUAGAAAUGCAUGGAAGAAGUGUUAUUAGGGAUAUGAAUAAUUCCUUUGGGGAAGGAGGUGUACUAUAAUAAAAGACUAAUAGGGCUCUUUGCUACAUAUUCUGUCGUAGGAGAUCGAGAGGAGCUGCGAUUUUUGACAUAGGGAAAGUACCCACGUGAAAGCAAAAAAAAAAAAAAAAAAAAAGCAGAUUGUCUGGUUGUGAGAUGGGAAAGAAAAAAAUUGGGCAAAAAUCAUUUCAGGUUUUGUCAUCAGCAGGUAGAGCACCCAUGCAAUUGUAGCCUGUCUCUCGGUUCCAGGUGUGGAAUGUUUAAAAUGUUUCCCAGAAAACAUAAACAAUGAUCAUUAGCAUUAGGAAAAGAUUGGAUGUCUUUCCUUCUCUCUCUGCUUCUCUCCAGGAAAACAAAAAACCCCACAAACAAAAAAAGACAA